rnacentral:lncRNA from 1 species
GCAACCACAUUAAAUAAGACUACAAAGGUACUUCACUUAUACAAAAUACUAGAUUCCAUUCACAUACAAAAUAACAAUAAUUUACUGUAUAAAUUAAAAUGUCACUAUUUAAUUUACAAUUUUCAUUAAAACAAUGUUUAGUAUUCCCCGCCAAAACCAAAUUUUGCCCCAUAUCACAUAGUAAACCCUGUUCAUGAGACGAGAAGUCCUAUGUACUCAUGUAGGGUUUAAAAAUUCUGGGAACUUUCCCUAAAUCCCAAGGUUUUCCAGAAAUCAUGGUUGGAGGGUUCCGGAUCAUGGUUGGAGGGUUCCGGAUUUCGUGCUUAUAACCAACCCCCUGAUUCAGGGAAUCUUCCAACCAGGAUUUGUGGAAAAGUUGGGAAUUUUGCAACCCUACUACGGUGUAACAUUUAGAUGAACAACAGCUAAUAAGAAGAGACAACUUCCCUUAUUAUAAGGUACUGUAGAAUUGUCCAGUUGACUGGAGGACAUGGGAGAGAAUGGAGUUGGUAUUUUUCACCAGGCUAUCCAAACAGAUAUGGCCUUGUUAGAUUUAAACUGUCAGAUUAGAUUAUUUUCUAUGUUUAACAAGGACUCCUCUCUCUCACACACACACACACACACACACACACACACACACACACACACACACACACACACACACACACACACACACAGUCUCCCUUACCCUCUCUUCCGCUCUCUUUCUACCUCUCAGCAUGAACUGCUCUGAACAGCACAGACCCAGGGGCACGUGCUCUUUCUUGUCUUGCUAUAAUUAACAUGAGUUACUGAUGAGCAGACAUCCAAAGUAAAACAUGAGGUCACCCAGCAGACAAACAUCAGAAGGGAAAAUGAGGAACGUUCCCUGUAUUGUGAGGCGAGGCCCCCUUAUUAAGUCACAGGCACACCUAGGCUACUGUAAAUCUUAUCCCUCAUUCCAAUGUGUCAAUGACUCCAUCCCAAACGACACCCUAUUGCGCUAUAGAGGGAAUAGGGUCCCUUUGGGACACAGCCAUUACAAUUUUGCAUAUAAACUGUAACCCUUUUGUUGCAGCAGGUGCUCUAAAUGUAAUGUUUGCCAUUUGGUUUCCAGAACAACAGAACUGUGUAAAGUUUCAAACGGUUUUGGUAGUUGUUGGGGAAUUGGUAGAUUACUUGUUAGAUACUGCUGCACUGUUGGAACUAGAAGCACAAGCAUUUCGCUACACUCGCAUUAACAUCUGCUAACCAUGUGUAUGUGACAAAUAACAUUUGAUUUGAUUUGUGUAACGUUUCAAAUGGUUUUGUUUUCCAGAACAACAGAACUGUGUAAAGUUUCAAAUGAUUUUGGUUUCCAGAACAGAUAAGAACCAAACUGGAUGAAAUACUAUUUAUCUAUCAUUGUACACCUAGAGGCAGAUGGAAGCGCAUGAACGUUUUGGACCAGAUGAAUCAGCUCUGGCUGUGUUUCUGAUUGGUGGGAAAGAGAAACUGAAAAGUGCUUGACCAAUAGAAAUAGAAUCCUAACAUUAUUAUACAUAUAAAACCUGAUAUGUAUAAACAUAUAUCUCAUAUUGGUAUGGUUUAACAUAUCUUUAUGGAAUUACAAAUUGCUGUAUGCCAGAGGCACAUUAAUGCAUUGUGAUCUUUCACGUGUCCUCAAAGGUUACAGAAACACAGUGAACUGAACCAGUGUCAUUAACCUGCUGUCUGCUAACACAGCGGACUACCGAUGAGGGCUUUUAUUCAUUCACCCCAUAUUAUUUGUGGUUUAGCUGAGAGUUGAGUGAGGUUGUUUGGGUCUGCAGAGCCCUCUGAAUGUGGGAAUCUGAAGCUGCUGAAUAUUGGGGGGAAAACCCUCCAGCCUCCCAGCUAAGUUGCAGUUCAUGAGUAAGUACACUAACGACUGAUGGAUUUCACCAUCGCUUUGAAAGAGCAGGACAUAUGUCACAUUGAAUUACACAAUAUACAACAGUCCCGUGUGGCUCAGUUGGUAGAGCAUGGUGUUUGCAACGCCAGGGUUGUGGGUCCGAUUCCCACGGGGGACCAGUAAGAAAAAAAUGUAUGAAAUGUAUGCAUUCACUACUGUAAGUCGCUCUGGAUAAGAGCGUCUGCUAAAUGACUAAAAUGUAAAUGUAAAUGAUUUACCCCCUCCUUGUAAUCAAGUGGCAACGUAAAGAGAACAAUAUGUUCAGUAAUGUCCGAGAGGACACAAGACCACAUAGAAAAGAAAACUGGGGAAAAAAUUAAGUCUCACCCAUUCUACUGUAAUUCUCAUUGACAUAGUCUGUUAUAGUAUGUCAUAGGGUGACGUAGUCUGUUAUAGGGUGGACAAGGAUCCCAACUAAUAGACUCAGAAACACAGGGAGGAGGGGAAGAGGAAGGAAGUGGAGAGCAAGUGGAGAGGGGAGGGGAGGGAGUGCAAAGGUGAGGGAGAGGGAGUGAGAGAGAGAAGCCUACAGUAGAAGAUACUUAAGGCUUAAACACAGUGUGUGUUCCUAAUGUCACCCUACUCCCUAUAUAAUAUACUGCUCAAAAAAAUAAAGGGAACACUUAAACAACACAUCCUAGAUCUGAAUGAAAGAAAUAAUCUUAUUAAAUACUUUUUUCUUUACAUAGUUGAAUGUGCUGACAACAAAAUCACACAAAAAUAAUCAAUGGAAAUCCA